GGGACCCUACCGUGCUUAGGCUCUCUAACUGCGACCCCAGUUAGGCGGG
rnacentral:rRNA from 1 species